rnacentral:lncRNA from 1 species
GCCUUCAGAGUUAAUAAUAUCUCGGUGUAUUUUUGGUGGUGGCUGCUUGGUUAGCCUGAGUUCCAGAGUGAGGACAUCAUGAAGUAAAGAUCUCAGCUGACCCACAAUGGACAUAUAUUUCCUUAGAGUCUCAGGGAAGGCUUCUGGAAGAGUGUAUUUUCAAGUGAAGAUACCGAGAGCCCAGUAUCACAGAGGAAGAAAGUACUGGUGGUGACACAGCAGGUAUUUUAGAAGUGGGGGCAGCUAUUUUAGACAGCUCUUUCCUAUGUUGUUCCUGUCACACCAUGAAGAUGCCGAUUUCGUCCACCCACAAGAAAGCUGCCUUGGUCCUGGUACUCAAGGGCUCUAUGUUGCCUCCAUCAUAUCCAGAAUUAAUUCCAAUAACAUGUUCUUGCAUUCUUCGUCAGCACAGCAAGGGAGCUAACUGGAAGGCAUGUCGGGAACA